CCUACGGGUGGCAGCAGUGGGGAAUAUUGCGCAAUGGGCGAAAGCCUGACGCAGCGACGCCGCGUGAGGGAUGAAGGUCCUCGGAUCGUAAACCUCUGUCAGCAGGGAAGUACGGUCACUGUGCUAAUCAGCAGUGAAUUGACCAUACCUGCAAGGGAAGCACCGGCUAACUCCGUGCCAGCAGCCGCGGUAAUACGGAGGAUGCGGGCGUUAAUCGGAAUUAUUGGGCGGAAAGGGAUCGUAGGCGGUAUGUCAAGUCAAGGGUGAAAUCCCCGGGCUCAACGGGGGAAGUGCCUUUGAAACUGGCAAACUGGAGUGUGUGAGAGGUUAGUGGAAUUCGUGGUGUAGGGGUGAAAUGCGUAGAUAUCUGGAAGAACAUCAGUGGCGAAGGCGACUAUCUGGCACAUAACUGACGCUGAGGAGCGAAAGCGUGGGUAGCAAACAGGAUUAGAUACCCGGGUAGUC
rnacentral:rRNA from 1 species